AACGAACGCUGGCGGCAUGCCUAACACAUGCAAGUCGAACGGGAUCCUAGCUUGCUAGGUGAGAGUGGCGGACGGGUGAGUAACACGUGGGAAUCUGCCUUUUGGUUCGGGAUAACCGCGGGAAACUGCGGCUAAUACCGAAUGCCCUCGAGAGAGGAAAGAUUUAUCGCCAGAAGAGGAGCCCGCGUCCGAUUAGGUAGUUGGUGGGGUAAAGGCCUACCAAGCCGACGAUCGGUAGCUGGUCUGAGAGGAUGAUCAGCCACACUGGGACUGAGAUACGGCCCAGACUCCUACGGAGGCAGCAGUGGGGAAUAUUGGACAAUGGGGGCAACCCUGAUCCAGCAAUGCCGCGU
rnacentral:rRNA from 1 species